rnacentral:RNase_P_RNA from 1 species
CGGGAGGGACAAACGGCCGCGCCGUUUUUUCCGCGCGCUCCGCAAGGAGCGUGCCGGGGGAGACGAACGAGGAAAGUCCGGGCUUGGUGAAGGCAUGAGGGUGGAUAACGUCCACCGGCCGCGAGGUCAGGGAAAGCGCAACAGAAAAUAUACCGCCGCGCGUGAGCGUUCGCGCUCUUCGAGCGGUAAGGGUGAAAUGGCGAGGUAAGAGCUCACCGGCCGCCGGGUGACCGGCGCGCGUUUGGCAAACCCCCUCACAAGCAAGGUCAAACAGAGCACAGAGCCGAUUUUCUCCCGUGCCAGCGCGGGAAAGAAGAGGCGAAGGGACUGCCUUCGUCCCCGCUGCUCGGGUAGACCGCUAGAGCGCGGCGGCAACGCCGCGCCGAGAUAAAUGGCCGUUGCCGAGAACCUCCUUUAGGGGAUUUUCGGAACAGAACCCGGCUUAUCGUCCCUCCCGUGUU